CGCGAACAUCGUCUCUCAGGGUUGCACAAGAGCUCCGUGUGCCACCAGCCCGCCGCACAAGGCCCAGGGCCCCUUCACACGCCAUGGUGGCUCUGCGGGGUGGCCCAGGUCCCAUGCCGCAGGGUGGCCCAGCUCCUGCCUUGCAGCAUGGCCCAGGUCCCACAUCUCUGGGUGGCCCAGCUCCUCCUUUGCAGCGUGGCCUGGCUCCCGUGUCAUGGGGUAGCCCAGGUUCUGCAUCGUGGGGUGGCCCAGGUCCUGCCUUGCAGCGUGGCCUGGUUCCUGCAUCACAGGGUGGCCCAGAUCCCACAUUGCAGCAUAUCCUGGGUCCCGCAUUGCAGGAUGGCCCAGGUCCUGCGUCGCUGGGUCGCCCAGGUCCUGCAUCGCGGGGUGGCCCAGGUCAUGCAUUGUGGGUGGCCCAGGUUCCACGCUGCAGCAUGUCCCAGGUCCUGCAUCACUGGGUGGCCCAGAUCCCACAUCGCUGGGUGGCCCAGGUCCCACACUGCAGGAUGUCCCAGGUCCUGCAUCGCUGGGUGGCCCAGGUCAUGCAUUGCAGUGGCCCAGGUCCUGCACUGCAGCAUGUCCUGGGUCCUGCAUUGCAGGGUGGCCCAGAUCCCACAUAGCUGGGUGGCCCAGGUCCUGCAUCGCUGGGUGGCCCAGGUCCUGCAUUGCAGUGGCCCAGGUCCUGCAUUGCAGGUGGCCCAGGUUCUGCAUCACUGGGUAGCUGAGGUCCUGCAUUGCUGGGUGGCCCAGGUCAUGCAUUGCGGGUGGCCCAGGUCCCUCACUGCAGCAUGUCCCAGGUCCUGCAUCGCCGGUGGCUCUCCCAGCUCCUGCAGUUUGCCGGGAGAUGCCUGCUGCGGCACCCAGGUGCCCUCACCGGCUCCGGGCUGGGCCGCAGCGAGCCCAUGGCCGCCGGGGGGUUUGGAGAGGGAGCCAGCGGCCUUGCCCAGGGUGUCCAUCCCUGCUGCAUGCCCUGACCUGGGGCUGGGCGCCCCGAGCACGGUGCGGGGAGGCUUUCCUUGGGCGGGGAGCCACGGUGGACACGGGGAAAUCCGCCCUGCCGGCAGCAAAGCACCGGCUCGCGGACAACCAACGGCGCUGCCGGGCGUCCUGCCCCCGCCAGCCCUCCCGGCCGGCAGCCCACGGCCUCGGCACUGGGGGGUCCCAUCACCCAUGGUCCCAGCACCGUGGGGUCCCAGCACCGUGGGGUCCCAGCCCGCCCUGGCCGGCUGCGGGCCAGACUCCAGUGUGGGCUGCCCGGCUGCUGCUGGCUAUAGGGGUGCAGACCCAUACGGGUAUGGGGCUAUAUGGGGUGCAGACAACGUAUGGAGCUGUGGGGGGUGUGGAGCUGUGCAGGCUGCCCAGGCUGUGGGGUUGCACAGGGCACAGAAGCGUAUGGGGUACAGGCCAUACGGGGUGCAGAUCCGCACAGCGUGCCCGUCCAUACGAGGACAGAUCCCUGCAGCGUGCAGCUCUGUACAGGGCAGAGCUGUGCAACAUGCAGCUCCUCCGUAUGGGGACAGAUCCGUACGGCAUGCAGCUCUGUGCAGCAUGCUGGUCCAUAUGGGGACAGAUCCAUAUAGCAUGCAGCUCUGUACAGCAUGACAGUCCCUAUGGGGACAGAUCCGUACAGUGUGCAGCUCUAUAUGGGGACAGAUCCGUACAGCGUGCAGCUCUGUGCAGCGUGCAACUCUAUAUGGGGACAGAUCCAUAUAGCAUGCAGCUCUGUACAGCAUGCCGGUCCAUACGGGGACAGAUCCGUACAGUGUGCAGCUCUAUAUGGGGACAGAUCUGUACAGCGUGCGGCUCCGUACAGCGUGCCAGUCAAUACGGGGACAGAUCCGUACAGUGUGCGGCUCUGCACAGUGCGCGGCGCUGCGCGGCGGCGCUGGGCUCCCGCUCGCUCCCCCUUGUGGGAACGGCGACGAGGAGUUCCCGGAGCCGGCCGGGGCCAGCGCGGCGGGAUGCCCCAAACCAGGACCCCGGCUCCGGGCGGCGGGAGCGGGGGCUGCCAGGUGGCUGCCAGCGCUGCGGGGUCCGGGAAGGGGGAGCUGGGCCGGGCUGCUGCCAGCCCUCUCCGUUCCUGCGGCUCCGGCAUGGCUCCGGCGACCCUGACCUUGCCGGCCAAGCCGGGAGACGCAAAGGGGACGCCGGGGACCUGGCUUUCCCCGCAGCGCCGCUGCUGAGCAGGGCACUGGGCCCAUUUCCCACCUUCCCCUCGUUGCCCGAGGCCUGGGAAGCUGCUCCCGGGUUCCAGGGAGCCUCGGGCUGGUGGGAUGCAGCCGGUGGAGCGCGGGAACGGCGUCGCGGGCCGCGGCGGCCAGUGGGGCUCCGGGAAGCGCUGCCGCCGCACACGGAGAAGGGCCAAACGGGGAUGGAGAAAAGGGGCGCGGAAGCAGCCCCGGAAGAGCGCGGCAGCCGCGCAGCUCCGUGCCCCUUCCUAUCUGCGGCCCGAUCUGGCAGGGGGCUGGGAGCAGCCGGGGCCGCGCGACGCGCUGUGGUUUGGCACCGGGCGCGCAGGCGCCCCGCCGCCUUUGGGGCGAACGCCAGCUUGCAGCCGGCGGCGCGGGAGAGAGAGAGAGUGAGUGUGUGUGUGUGUGUGUGUGUGUGUGUGUGUGUGUGUGUGUCUUUUUUGUCUUUUUUCUUUUCUUUUCUUUUCUUUUCUUUUUUUUUGCCCCGCG
ensembl:lncRNA